AACAUACUCCCUCCAUCCCAAAAUUCUUGUCUUAGAUUUGUCUAAAUACGGAUGUAUCAAGUCACGUUUAGUAUUAGAUACAUCCGUAUCUAGGCAAAUCUAAGACAAGAAUUUUGGGACGGAGGGAGUAGAUA
rnacentral:pre_miRNA from 1 species